rnacentral:lncRNA from 1 species
AUUUUUUAAAAAAGAUUUUAUUUACUUAUUUGCAAGAAAGAGAGAGGGAGAGCAUGAGUGGGGGGAGGUGCCAAGGGAAAGGGAGAAGCAGACUCCCCACUGAACAAAGAGCCCGAUCCCAGGACCCCGGGAUCAUGACCUAAGCUGAAGGCAGACGCUUAACCUGAGCCACCCAGGCCCCGUAGUAAUUUGUUUUUACUGUGUUUUACAAGCAUCUGCAUUAGAUUGGAAAUUUUAAAAAUGUGGUCCUUCACCAGAGUUGUAGAAGCUCUGAUUUUAUUUUUUAUUUUUUAUUUUUUUUAAAGAUUUUUUUAAAGAUUUAUUUAUUUAUUUUUAUUUAUGAUAGACACAGAGAGAAAGAGAGAGGCAGAGACACAGGAGGAGGGAGAAGCAGGCUCCAUGCCGGGAGCCUGACGUGGGACUCCAUCCCAGGACUCCAGGAUCACGCCCUGGGCCAAAGGCAGGCUCCAAACCGCUGAGCCACCCAGGGAUCCCGAAGCUCUGAUUUUAGAGUAUUAAAGUCAAGUUCAAGGAUGAAAGUAUUUGAGAAUGAUCGUCCUAGGACAAUCAGCAAAUAACCAGUACCACACUUCUAACUCUGCUGCCUUCCCCACAAUUCUACUCAGAGAAUUUUAUGUAGCAAGAACAGAAGCAUAUUGAGGUCAGCGCUCCCUGUCCUUCUGUGGCAAAGUUAUUUAUGAUAUGCUUCGCUUCAUCCAGCUUGCCCCCUCAAUAAAGCAUCUGGAAAGAGUCCAAAGAAAAGAGUCGUGUUUUCCAAGAAACCAUGGGAAAACAGCAUUAGAAACCCUGAGGAAAUAUUGGAAUACCGAACUGUUACUGCUUGCCAACAGAACUUUGAGGAAGACACGCAUGCCCAUGCCUCCUCAGCACGAGCAUUUUCUAUCAUUAGGGUCAUGCAUUUACAGAUCAGAAAAACAACUCUGUUUCAUCCUAAGCUAUUGGUUGGAAUGAAUAUCUUCACAGCUCUGAGAUCUUCUUAAAAUAAGAGGUCCCUUAGUAGUCUAUUCUCAAACAACAAAUGAAAUGGAAUUAAAUAUACUAGACUUUGGUAUGCUCACAGCCCUGGCUCUUGACAGGGUAGCUUCUUAUUCUAGGAUCACAGAG